GACGAACGCUGGCGGCGUGCCUAAUACAUGCAAGUUGAGCGCUGAAGGUUGGUACUUGUACCAACUGGAUGAGCAGCGAACGGGUGAGUAACGCGUGGGGAAUCUGCCUUUGAGCGGGGGACAACAUUUGGAAACGAAUGCUAAUACCGCAUAAAAACUUUAAACACAAGUUUUAAGUUUGAAAGAUGCAAUUGCAUCACUCAAAGAUGAUCCCGCGUUGUAUUAGCUAGUUGGUGAGGUAAAGGCUCACCAAGGCGAUGAUACAUAGCCGACCUGAGAGGGUGAUCGGCCACAUUGGGACUGAGACACGGCCCAAACUCCUACGGGAGGCAGCAGUAGGGAAGCUUCGGCAAUGGACGAAAGUCUGACCGAGCAACGCCGCGUGAGUGAAGAAGGUUUUCGGAUCGUAAAACUCGGUUGGUAGAGAAGAACGUUGGUGAGAGUGGAAAGCUCAUCAAGUGACGGUAACUACACAGAAAGGGACGGCUAACUACGUG
rnacentral:rRNA from 1 species